GUCCUUAUCCUCAAUCAUUCUUCUGUCAGCUCAAAAGUUCAUAACUAUGUUGAAUUGCAGAAAGCUUCCUCCUCCACUAUAUCCAAUCGUCUUCGAUUCAUUGAUCUGCCCAAAGACGAGACUGAAUUGUUUAAUUUUUCUUCUUUCAUUGAGAGACAGAAACCCCAUGUCAAAGAAGCUGGGUUGAAGAUCACUCAGUCCGAGUCAAGCGUUGACUCUCCUCAGCUGGCGGGUUUUGUUAUCG
rnacentral:misc_RNA from 1 species